UCUCUCUCUCUCUCUCUCUCUCUCUCCAGUUAUUUAGUACACAGAAGAAGAGGUAGUACAUGCAUUGUCAUCUUGGUCAAUGGAAUAUUAGAUUUGGGUAGUACAUUUGUGUACGAUUUAAAAUGGCCUUUGUUGUAGAAAUAAAUACACAGAAAGGCCGGCAAGGGUUAGGGAAGGGACAAAUUAAUGUAUCUACGAGUUGCAGACUGGUGGGUGGCUGGUGACAAUUGAAAUUAGAGGAGCUGAUGAAUGAGGUGUGUGCAAAAGCCAACAAGAGUGUAACAAUGCCAAAAGACACAGCACGACUGUGGUUUUUGAAUAAAAUAAGUUUCUCUGUUUCCUGUCUCAAUCAAAUCAAUAUGGUUUCUUCUACUCAUGUUCCAGUGCGUACAACCCAUCUGGAUCUGGAUCUGGAUCUGGCUGUGUUCUCCUUUUCACUGAUUGAUUGUACAAUGUUGUCUCUGAAAGGAAGUCUAUGUAUGUGAACAAGAGCAGAUUGUAAGAAAGAAUUGUCAUGUAA